rnacentral:rRNA from 1 species
UUAACGAUUAGGAGCGGUUAGUGGCGGACUGGUGAGUAAUGUAUAAGUAACCUGCCUAUCAGAGGGAACAACAGUUGGAAACGACUGCUAAUACCGCAUAUGCCACGAGAAUCACAUGGUUCAAGUGGGAAAGGAGCAAUCCGCUGAUAGAUGGACUUAUAUCUGAUUAGCUAGUUGGUGGGGUAACGGCCUACCAAGGCGACGAUCAGUAGCCGGACUGAGAGGUUAAACGGCCACAUUGGGACUGAGAUACGGCCCAGACUCCUACGGGAGGCAGCAGUCGGGAAUAUUGCGCAAUGGAGGAAACUCUGACGCAGUGACGCCGCGUGCAGGAAGAAGGUUUUCGGAUUGUAAACUGCUUUAGACAGGGAAGAAAAAAGACAGUACCUGUAGAAUAAGCUCCGGCUAACUACGUG